GAUAGCAAAAACAAUUUUCAGGUUUCUAACAGAAGUGAAAAUAGUUCCUUUUAUAAGAAAAGCUAAUAGGAGUCAGCACAAUAACAAAAAAAUUUGGUUUCUUCAUGGUCUUUCUGACUCAUCUCUUCCUACACCAGAUUGUGCAGUGCUCUCUUUCACUGACUGUUUCUCUAAUCCUAAUCCUUGCAUCCAUGACAGAAGACGUGAGUUUUGUGGCAGUCAAAGCAAAACUGCUCAGCAGUGCAAGAUGUAUGCUCAGACAAGGUCAAAACACUCAUGGAAACAGGGAAAUCAAAGCCCACUCCAAGCUCCAGCACCACCCUUCAACGUGACUUCAAAGCCCCCUGCUUGCCUUGGUGUUGCAAUCUUUGAGCAACAUUUCUGUCCCACUUCAAACACACACAGGUUUCACCAUCACAGCCACCAAGCUGCUGCUGAGGCCACAAAGUGAUAGUUUGGAAUAAAGGUGACACUCUUUAGCAGAGAUGCCAAACAAGAUAAAUGAUGCAUUCUGCUGAGCUCCACAGAGAUGUGCUAGUGCCAUGAAAACCCUGAAAGAAUCCUGCACCUGCUUAAAUUCAGAACAAUCUUCCAACAAAAGCUCAAGCCCUGUACUGUGAUGAGAUCAUAAGGUUGCUUUCUACAUGUGAAGUUCCUCAUUGGGGAAGAUGGACACGACCCUUCUACACUACUAAAGUGGCAUCCACGUCCUGGCUACUCCUGCAUAAUUACUUAAAUAAAACAUAAUGUGCACAAAGUAUUUAUACUGCUCUAGAACCUGUGUUUCAAACCUGAGACACAUCUGAGAGUGCAUGGCCCUUAGAAAUCUUGGUAAGAGAUUUUACCAGGAAUUACAAUACUCUUUCUUUUUUUGUUGUGUAUUAUUUGAGUACUGAUGCACAGUUUCACGUGUAAUAGGCAGUUUCUGGUCUGAGUUCUGGCAGAACCAACUUCCUGAGCUUCUGUGGCGUCCCAAUAGUUGAGAUGAUGUUGCAGUUUUCACUGUGAACAAUCCCUAAGUUUAAAUAGCAUUCAGGAUGCAUUUCUAUUUAUUGCUUAGUAAACUGCAAAACUGAAGUUACAAAGUCACCUGAGUUGACAUAACCUAGUAAAUAUUUGAAAUUUUAAGAAGUGCUGAAAAUAUUUCAGAAUUUUUUUCAACUUAGGAUGAGAUUCUUUUCAGUAGAUUGCAAAAUUAAAUAGCUCUUUAUUACAUGGUAGUGCUGAACUAUAAAGCAAUGUGAAAAAUCAAUAAUCUUAAAUUUUAUUAAUGGAAGUACCUAAUAAGAAUCUUACUCAUUGAUGACAUUGCUAUUUUUAUAAUUGAGCAGGUAUCUCUAUUCUUAGGGCACUAGGAACAGAGGAAAAAUAACAUUAAAAUAUUACAAGGCCCUAGAAUAUGUAGCUUUAAUAAUGGAAUUUCAACAGAUAGGUUUUAUUAAACAGAUUGUUCUGUAAGCAGUGGAAAUGUUCAUAGUGUGGCUACCAUGUGACUUGUGCUGCAAAGCAAUCCUCCACUUCAAUAGCAUAAAAACAUUAUUAACUCCAUGGAUAUGAUGAUAGAAACAUUUUAAAUGCUAGCAGACUGUAAAAGCAGUAUGUCAUAGCCUCUUGGAUUACUGGGAACAAGGUUAUGGAACACCCUAUAUGAGUUUUCAGUGCUCAAUAAAUAACAUCGUUUGCAUGUGGAAACUUUAGGUAUAAUAUUCUUUCCUCACACCAUUCCUGCAGAUUCAUAGAGACAAAAAGAGUUUUAUAUACAUGUAUGUAUAUAUGCAAAUCACAGACUGCAUGAAAAAGACUAUGUGCUUUUACUCAUGUAUUAUAUAAAGAUGAUAGAUACAUAUUCUCUUAUGAAUUUAAUAUCUUAUGAAAUUCAAUGUAAGAUAAUGAAACUACAGAUGGAGUGUUUAGACUUUUCACUUAAAUUACUGCUAUGUAAAGCAAAAAUAGUCUGAAAUGGCCAAACCUGUCUACAACAGACACAGCUUUUUUAGCUGGAUAGAUGAAAGAUACACACAGCUCAAAAACCUUCAUGUUAUAAAUCACUCCAGAAAUAAUGAUGGAUUUAUAGCUCCCUCUCAGUAGUGCAGACAAGCACUACUCUGAUCCAAACCCCUGGGAUCAGGCAGGUGGCCUGACACACCCUCACUCCAGACCCUUUGGAUCCACCCAAGCAUCAGCACUGAAAGUUAUUAGCCAGGCAUAAAGCAUUUGGAACUGCAGCAUAUUUACUAUUUUUCGUAUCUGAAAUGUUGGUUUCAAUAUUUGGUGACUUUCUAAAGUUUUAUUGAGGAACAUUUGUUGGUUAUUAAAUCACUCCCCAGCCAGUUGCUCUAGAGAGCAACACUGGACUCUCUUGAAGGCUUGGGUGGCCCAACAGUCUGUGGCUGCUCUCGGACUUCCCUUCCUAGAUAUAUUUACCUUACUCCUACCAUUUCAUAUGGAAUUAUUUGUUGGUUUCACUGCCAUUCCUUCCUCUGAGGCUGCACUUUCAUCUCACUGAAUUUUUAUCUUUUAGAUUCAUUUUGCCUCUUCAAGGGGUAAAGAAAUUGAGGAAAUUAUUCCAAAUGUAAUUUCCUACACUUCCAUCUCCUUGUGAUUAGCAGACACAUUCUGAAAAGCACAAUGAUGGAUUCCUUUGUAUCAUGAUUUCUCUGCAGAUCUCACAAAUAAGCAACAAAAAAAAUCUCAGCUAAUUUCAGCUUAGAUUUCAGCUUAGAUGGUCACAAAUUAACCAGAGAAGGGUAUAUGUUAGUUUAAACAAAUUACACACAUUUUCCAUUUUUGUUCUAUAGCAUAAGAAAUUAGAUAGUUAAUUUUAAAUGCAAAACUUUGUACAGCGUGCAAAUCAUGUCUGUAUGUCAAACUGAAAUAACAAACCUAAUGAGGAAUGUUAAAAAAGCAAGACCUAUUAGUUUAAAGAUACAUGGAAGCAGCCAAAGAUGACAAACAUGCAUAAAAUUCAAAACAUGAUGGAAAAAGGAACAGGCACUGAACCACAUAAAUCAGUGUUUUGAAUUCUAUUUCUCUGUGGGUAUAAUUGUACCUUAGUUUCUUAUAAUGAUUUAUUGAGGUAAAUAGUCUGUAUGGUUUAACAGCUACAGCUUCAAAGUGUCAGGCACAGACUCUCCUUUAUUCAUGAGGCAGCUGAGUAUUGGGAUGUGAAUCAGCUUCUGUAUUCUGGGACUUGGCAAAGUUUGUUUUUAAGGUCCUUAUAAAGGAUUCAUGUUGAUGCAGCUAUUCAAAUGUGAAAAACACUGUGCUGUAAUGGAUGAAAUAGAAAAGCUUUACAGUAAUUCUGGAGGAAAAAAGUAAAAACACUGAAAUAAACCAUUCAGAAUUACCUUCAGGAAAAGAAAGGAACAUCCCAGAGUUAAUUUUAAUACAUUAUAUCAUUAGGGGGAACACAGAAAAAAGCCAAUUUCUUGAUGAAGCACAAAAGUGUGAUGGGAUUCCAGAAUUUACUUCCAAGUUAAAAUAAAACAAAGUACAAGAAAGAAAUGGUAGAAGUUUAAGCUGUGACAUUCACAUUUUGGGUUGAUUGCCAAACCACACGUUCUAUUGCUCUCAGACCAGGAUAAACCAACCAUUAACUAAUCAAAAGAAUCAUUAUCCAUGAAAGCUGUGAUGGCAUUUUAACAGUUCUUAAUCUAUUAAUAAGAAAGAAUAAUUUGCAAAAUAGAUUCCCUCUUCUGUUUACAUUCACAGGGCCAUUCUUAGCAGAAAUUAUAUGUAGGCUCCCAUGGUGCAGAAACCCUGUGAAAGCCAUGAAAAUUCACUAAGCUUCCUUACGUCCCGUGCCAAGAUAUUCAGCAGGAACUUUGGUCGUUGCCAAGAAACACGUGUGCCUCAGAUACAGAAGCUCUGCGUGUACCGGUAUUUCAACAUUCCUGGAGAGAAAUGUGACCCCUUGAUGCAUACACUGGUUUGCUGGCAUGCUCACAUUCCUCCCCAUCUGUCAGAGUGGCAUGCUGCCUUCUCACAAGGUGGGAUGCCAGUUCAGGAGCACAGGUGCCAACCAAAUAUAGGUUCAGACUAAUACUCUGCAAAAUGUGGCAAAUGACAUUUCACCUGCAAGAGAACCAUCCUACCUGUGGCCCAUGCCAAAUUAGGAUUGCAUGCUUCAUUAGCAAAGGGGGUCAUCAGCUGAAAAUCACAGGCAGAACCAGAAAUGCUGGCUUUCUGGAUAACAUCUAGCUGAGGGCCUGCCCCACUGAGGUUUAAUUUACAAUACACCAAAUUUUCCUAACAUUGCAGCCAUACAGCCCUUUAGAGCAAAAUGCAGCAGACCAUGGACAGAGAUCUGUUGAAUUCAUCCUCCCAGACUCAUUUCUGACAAAUUUCAAGAUUCUUAAAAAAGGAGCAUGAAUUAACAGUGGGGGGGAAAGCAUAAAUAAAGAUUAGUGUUUUCUCUAAGAGGGUUUCUAGCACCACAAAGAAAACCAUCUUCAUUAUGAUGGUCCAAAAAAACCCAAACUAAAACUAUUUUUAACCAAAUUGCUCCUAUAAUUCUAAAAUUCUUAACAUCUAUAAAAUAUUUUUAUAAAGACUGACAUACAAUAUAAAAAAGUCAUUCGUUUCUAGUUUGAGAAUUUAUGUGCACGAGAAAGUCAUGAACAGCCAUUACACAAAAAUCAUUCAACAUGCAAUGACAACACUGGAUAACAUUAAAUAGUAUUUCAAUAUCCUUAGAAUGAAGUACAGUUUGAACCCUUUCAUUAAUAAGACUAUUCCCCACUAUAUUAGUCUAACAAGAAAAAUUAUAUAUUCUGUUGAUCAAUAAACAGAAUAGCCACAAAGUAGUGUUGGUUUUGCCUCCAAAUUAGCACAGCCUACUUCAUUUAUAAAUGUACAAAAGAAAAAUGAAGCAUUGCUAGUCUGAAAAAAUUAACAGCUUUCAGGAAACAAUUUGCUAUCCUUUAUUUGGUAAUUUAUUAUGAUUUCUGUAAUUUAUUUAUUCCAGGAUGUACCUGAUAUAUCAUCAGCUUUAGGGGGUUUUGUUAAACUGGCUAUCCAAAAAUGAGUCAUUUUAUGCAUAAUUCUGCAUUAUUUAGGCUAUUCAGAAGGCACACCACUGCUAUUCCCAAAGGACAAACUCAGAGCUAUUAAUUCUUACAAGCACAAAAAUAUAACUCAAUACAUUGAAUUCUGCAAUUACAGUUCAAUACACUAAGAUGCAAAGUCCUGCCUCUGAGAUGGAAUAACCUCAUGCAACAGUACAGGCUGGGGGCCAACUGGCUAGAAAGCCUAUUUGCAAGGAAAAAACCUGGAGGUCCCUGUGGACAAACUGAGCAUGAGCCAGCAGUGUGCCCUGGCAGCAAAGGCAGCCAACAGCAUCCCAGGCUGUUUCAAGAGAAGCGCUGCCGGCAGGUUGAGGGAGCUGGUAAUUUCCCUCUUCCUGGCAUUUGAGAGACUGCAUCAGGAGCAAUGUCCAGCUCUGGUCUUCCCAGGACAAGACAGAUACUGAAACAGUGAAGCAAGACAACUGGGAGGCUGCAGUGUGAUAUACCAGAUAGACAGGAAGCUGAGAGCUUGCACAGCCUGGGGAAGAGCAGGUGAAGGUGAGAGCUGAUUGCUGCCUGCAGCAGCCUAACAAGAGGGUGUAGGGAAGAUGGAACAAGGCUCCUUGCAGAGGUGCACAGGGACAUGACAAGAGGCAAGGGACACAAGCUGAACUAUUCCAAUUCAAUAUAAGGAAGAAAAUAUUACCUUGAGGGUGGUCAAACACUGGGCUAGGUUGCCAAGAAACACUGUGGCAUCAGCAUCCUUGGACACAAUCCAGCUUGACUGGAGAUGGCCCUGUGUAACCUGCUCUAAUUGGACCUGCACUGAGCAAGAGGUAGGACUGGAUGGCCCCCAGGUGGUGCUUUCUUAUCUACAUAUUUCUGUGAAAUAUGUGCUAGCAUUUUGUAUGAUACACAUCCCAGUUUUAACAACAUACAGGAACAUUUCAGAGUAUCACACUCCAGGCAAUCACUAAGCUACUCAGGGCCAGCAGCCAGCCUUACAUUUGUUUUCUUGUCUUUUCCUUCAAACAAAGUCUUCAGUCUUUUGUACUUAAUUCUAGUAAAUUAACAGCAUUAGACAUCGCAUUUAUACUAUGCCUUCCCACUCUGGAUCCCAAAUGCUUUAGAAAUGAUGCAUUACUUUACAUAAAAACAGGCUUCUGUUAUGCCCCCAGCAAAACAGGGAAGGUGGCAUAAAGUCAGUGGAACAGCACAUUUUUCUUCCUGUCACACUGUGCCUGUACGUCACUAUGACUAUUCUAAUGUAAAGGAUUUUGUCCUGCCCACAAUUCCAUGACAGUCUCAGGCCUGUCAUAAAUACCACCAUAUUAAGUGGACAUACUCUUUCAUGCCUAAGUUAAUUGAUUUAAAAUUUAUUAUUUCUGAUUAAUAAAAAUAUCCUGAUGCUUGAGAUGCAAAUUUCCAUACUCAAAGUCAAAAUGUACAAAUUGCUACAGUAUUGCACCUACAACUUACUGUCAGUUAUUAUUAAGAGUAUGAAUAUCAAAAUGGUAAAGUCUACUUUAGUACAGGCAGAGUGCACAGUAGUUCUUGGCAAUGCUGCCAUAUAGUUUAUAGUUUAUUAAUAGAGUGUAGAUCUUGAAAAGAUCACUACAUUAAUUUUAAAGGCUUGAUGUAAGAAAUAAGAUGUUGGUAUUAAACAGGUAAAAGAGAGUAAUGACUUUCUCUUUUAUUUUUGUGCUUCUUGUAGUCACUCAAAGCCAAUAGGCUGUGACUGAAACACAAUUAAUAAGAGGGAUAAAGCAAAUAUGUAUUUGUAUGUCCUUUGUAGAAUAGAGAUCUUCCAGCAGCUAAGAGGAGCAAAAAUCAGCACUGACAAGGAGACACUACCUGCGUUUUAAGGAACACAAGUCACAGAACACACCCAAACUGGCUAAAUAACAGGGGUAAUGAGUGAUACACAUUUCAACCAGAUACCGUCAGGACACAAAUUAAUAAAACUGUUUUUGCAGCAGGAAAAAUCCUUCUGGUGCAGUGGUAGGGGACAGUAUUGUGAUAUAGCUCUACCAGGGAGGUGAAGAUAUUGACAGGAAAAAUCUUCUGCAGUCUUCAAAGGUUAUUUGGACACUGGGUACAUAUGAAAAGUCUGUGUGCUCUACUGAUGAUGAAAGUUGAGGAGAAACAUUUCUUUUCAGAAAGGACCCUGACUUGGGAGCUGUGCAGAUACAUCAGAGCUUUAGCACACCUGUUUUUUUCACACCUUUAAAAUAUUUCUCUAAGGAUCAAGUGAAACCAGCAGGAUAAAGAUACCUGGUGCUAUUUCUUACUCCUUUCCACUGACCAUUUCCACAAAUGUUACUGAAGUCCCUAGGGAGAAGAACUACUACAAUCAUACAGGGUUAGGAAGGAGAACAGAGUCACGGUUUUUCCAUACCACUUACAUUUCCUUCUAAUUUCUCUUUGUUCAUCCAAUAAAAGAUUCAAAGCUGUUAGGAACAGAAACAGUUAUAUGAAGAGACAAAUUCUGUUUACAGACUUAUUUCAGCAGACUUCAAAGACUUUGGCUUACACAGUACUGUGAGACUCAAAAAAGGACAAUGUUAAUUUUGUUCAACCUUUCCAGCAUAGUGUUACUCACCUAGAUUAUGUUAAGCAGUGGUUUGUUCACACCAUCUUCAAAUUACUCCCAAGAUAAACUCAUUAAGACAAAAAGAUAAAAAUUUUAAGCUUCUCUUUUCCUUAAAGUAUUCUGAUUUACUACACACAGAUGAAACAGUAUACCAAAGGAAACAGAAGAUGCACCCAAGGAAGGAUCUACAGAGUUUCCACUCUAAACAAACACAAUUCAUUUUGAUAAUACUGAAGACUUUCUCCUCAUUCAGACUCACAGUAGAAUAAUUGAACUUGGCAGAUACUUUCUGUGACAUGCCCUGUCUUUACUGGAGCUUUUAUGUGCUAGCAAGCACAAAAGAAAAAGAAGGAGAGAAGUGAGAUAUAUAAAGUUGUAUCUUCAUUGCAAUAAAAUUGAUUUUUACUCAGAUACAGUUUUCUAGCACUGUACCCUGUACAGAAGUAAGGGAAGAGGUCUGGACAGUUUAAUACAAUGUAAAAUCUUAAGAAAGCAAACCACUCUAUUUCCUUAUUUUGGGGUAGCUGGUUCAUAUCAACUCCAAGUAGGAGAUACAUUGUUGGCCUUGCCUGGCUACACAGAUAUAAAAACUACCUGGGAACUGUCUGCACUAGGACUGUACCAAAUCAAAGCUUCUUAACAUACCUUUUAUGGUGUUAAAAAUGGGAAUUAAAAAACAAUCUUCGUGGAAGGCUAAUACAUGCAAGGUUACUAGAAGCCUGCACAGACCUAGGUUCAGGGACAUAAUCUCUCCAAUCUUUAUUUUCUUCCUUUGUUGAACAGGGGCAACAAUGCUUUUUUCUGUGGUAUUGAAUAAUGGCCUUUUCUGCUAGUCCAGAAAUAAAAGUGAGUGAAGAUAGUCCUUGUAUUGAUGUGCUGUCUUGUUUAUGAUAGAAACUACUUUGGUUUUAGAUGGGAAGUGUUCUAAAAAAGCUUUUACAACAGGUUCAGAAAUAUAAAAGCCAUUUCAGGAUGAGGACCUCUCUAUCCUUUAUUUUGUUACUUCUUGAAAGGGCUUUUUAAAUGUUAGCAGCUACGACUGCCCUCGCUCAACUGAUGCUCUCUUGUCAGCAAUCCUUCUGUUGACAUCUCUUUGUUUGCUCCCAGCUUGUCUCUCCUCCUUCCCAACCCCUUAAAAGAAAACAAGAGGUUGGAAUUGAACUUUUGGCAGGCAUAGAGCCACUAAAACACAUUGAAUAAGUUUGCUGGGCAAGUCAGAUUUCAGUAAAAGAGUUUCUUUCCUCACUUUCAGUGAUAUACACUUUUUUUCCUACACUUUCAGAAUAUUUUCCCCUCUUCCCUGUGGCAUCCUCCAUAUAUUGUAGUAAGCAAAGCUGCUCAGAAAAUGGGAAGCAUUUUCAGCUUAAAUAGGUUGAAAGAGAUGAAAAGUUAGGGUAAUGUCAUGUUUCUAUUUGAUAUAAAAUAAAGCUUUUUGUCUAAAAAGAAUGUAAUUUAAACUGUGCACUUAAAGUAGGUGUAUGUGUACACAUUUGGGUUUUUUCCAAGCUAAAAAAAAAAGGCAUUCAUUUCCUUGUUAAGCUUUCUCACAGACAGGUACUGGCAGCAUUCCCUGCCUCAUGGUGAUAGCUACUUUGAGUAUCAGAAGUUCAUUAGUAACAAUUAAACAUUCUACAGCACUUGAGAAGAGGUUGAUCCUGUUUUAUAAGCCAAUGUCAGUGAGCAUAUUAUAAAUUACAGUAGUCCAAUUACUCUACAGCUAAUAUUUAGCACUUAUACUUUGCUUUGAACACACACUCUGCAACUGAUAAUUAAUUCUUAAUGCUGGCAUGCAGAUAUAUUAUCCUAAUUUCACAGAUAAAUCAGAAAAGCGAGAUAAUUUGCCAUAAGCCUCUUAGUCUUGAGUGGAGUCAGGACUAACCAGGGGAAGAUUCAACCCUGUAUCCAUGGCUUCCAAGCCAGGGCUGACCACUAUCUUGGUCACUAUGUGAUAGUUGUAUUAUUCCAGCUCAAUCUCUGCAUGGCAAAGACAUCCUUACCACAUUAUACUAUGAGAAAUGAUUUUGGCUGUCAGAUCUGGGUCUACUUUAAUCUACCCUACCUCUACAGAAAAAGCUAAAACCCAAUUAAAUAAAAAAAUUGUGCAGAAUGUAUAUCAGCAUCUUCACUCGUACAACUGCUUCCACAAGACCUUGUUAGCCCUCAACUUUCCCACACCCAUGCCUUUCCAUGAAAGGAAAUGAAAUCUCAUUAUUUCAGUAUCAUUUCAGCAGGUUUCAGUUCAUUUCACUGCACUUCACCUCAUGCCAACUGUUUUCACUUAAUUCCAGAACUUCUUUUUUUUUCCUUGACAAGGUUUUGUCUGCCUGAAAGUUUUCAUAAUGCAGACUGCUGAGCUUCAAAACUUGGAAGCUCCUCCUUCAAGUGAUUCUUGUGGCAUGUCCUGUAACAGAGCUGGUGUGUACCCACCCUGCACCCACAUGGAUGGUUCCCAUUCACACACUGCAGCUCACCACAGCAGCAGCAGCAGCAUAUUGAAAAGUCCAAGGGGACAAUUGUACAUGACAGCAAAUAAUUCUGUUACCUUACUUGUCAUUUCAGCUCAUCUCACUCUUACCUCAUUGCCUCUGUUAAUGACCAACAAGAAACCUUUUUGUUCCUCCCUCUUGUUCCUCCUUCUACACAGGCAGCCAUUUGCUUGAGGCUCUGUUUCUGCAUCACAGCCAGUCUGUGCUUCAGGACAAAACCUUGCCCCUGUGAAUUGAAUGUUAACCUCAGGACAGAGUCUUCAGAGAGACUAAGGCAAAACAGUGGAAAACUCUCACAAAUACUGCCCAGAAUCCUUACCUAUCAUUUUGUUUGUAUUCCAGAACAGCCCCAGAGAUUGGAGAAGACAUGUUUCUCCUUAGAAAUUCAGUGUCCCGUCUUCUGAGAAUAAUGACAUUUCUCUGUUGCUCAAAAGAAUGCAGCAAAUAUAACACUGAAUCCCAGCAUGACAGGAAUUUCAGAACUCCUUUCUUAUCAUUUAUUAGUGUUACUGGAAUUAUAUAAAGCUCAUAAGUCACACAUCCUCAGAUAUAUCUGUAAUAUCUGCAGGAAGAUAAGCAAAACCCUUACAUAACCAUUCUGCUACUAGAAUCCACAUGUUUUUAGCAUUCAGAGGAAUCCAUUUUUAAGUGAUCCCAUAGGCAGACGGUUGCCAUAUAAUGUUUAGGAUGUCUUUGUUUGCUAAGGUACCUCUUCCCUGCAGAAACAGAGCAUUUUAAACAAGGGAGCAAUAACCCAAGUGAGAAAAAAAAAUUGGAAAAGCCUCUCACUAAAAUAUCAAUACCAUAAUCAUUACUUAAAAUAUAAACAAAAAACAAAAUUAACAAACCAUUGGUCAGACAUAUAAACAUUAGUUUGUUUCAGUUGUCCCAAAAAAGACUUGAACUUAACAAUAAGUCACAACUAAGACACAGUUAUAAUAGCUGAUUUGAGCAGUCUUAUUUUUUACACCUUUUUUCCCAAGGACAAACUUUCUCUGUUUGUCUCACAAGGGAAAUAUAUUUGAAGUUAAAAUUUAACCCUUGUUUUUUAUUGAGAUACAGAACUUUAAGCAAAAUAGUAAAGAAGCACUAAUAAAAACUAAACUUAAAAAAUUAGAAAACUACAGUUUCACUGGUAUUAGAUUACCACAAUUCUUAUUAAGUUAAACAGACUAAAAAGACUGGUAGAUACUACUAAAAAUGGAGUCUUUAAUUUACAAAGUAAUAUAAUUUUCAGGGGGCUUUUGUAAUUUUACUCCUCUUGUUAGAAACAAUUUUUAAAUGCUAAAGUUCAAAUUAAUCCAUUACUACACUCUCUAUAGUCUGUACAUUUAAAUACAUGAAAUGAGGUUAAAGAUGCGAAUAUAUGAUUCUCUCAGGUUAAUUCUUGUUUCUGCUCAUUUAUCAUUGUUAAACAAGAACAUAAACAAGAACCACAGAAGCUGUAGAAAGCAAAUAUAACAACCAUGCCAUUCUGAUUGGUUUUGCACACUGAAGCAAAGCAGUAACACAAACAUGAAAUAAACCAUCAAUGUCCCAGCACUAUUCCAUAUAAACAGCCGUUGAAAAUAAUUAUAUUGUACAUAUCAUAUCAUAUUUCAUACUAUAUAUCAUAAUCAUAGUUUGGGUUGGAAUGGAUCUAAUCUACUCAAAAGGACAUCUAAUCAAGACACGCACAUUAGCUCAUUGUAAAAAAAAAAAAAAAAAUUAAAAA